rnacentral:rRNA from 1 species
GUCGAGCGAACAGAUAAGGAGCUUGCUCCUUUGACGUUAGCGGCGGACGGGUGAGUAACACGUGGGUAACCUACCUAUAAGACUGGGAUAACUUCGGGAAACCGGAGCUAAUACCGGAUAACAUUUGGAACCGCAUGGUUCUAAAGUGAAAGAUGGUUUUGCUAUCACUUAUAGAUGGACCCGCGCCGUAUUAGCUAGUUGGUAAGGUAACGGCUUACCAAGGCGACGAUACGUAGCCGACCUGAGAGGGUGAUCGGCCACACUGGAACUGAGACACGGUCCAGACUCCUACGGGAGGCAGCAGUAGGGAAUCUUCCGCAAUGGGCGAAAGCCUGACGGAGCAACGCCGCGUGAGUGAUGAAGGGUUUCGGCUCGUAAAACUCUGUUAUUAGGGAAGAACAAACGUGUAAGUAACUGUGCACGUCUUGACGGUACCUAAUCAGAAAGCCACGGCUAACUACGUGCCAGCAGCCGCGGUAAUACGUAGGUGGCAAGCGUUAUCCGGAAUUAUUGGGCGUAAAGCGCGCGUAGGCGGUUUCUUAAGUCUGAUGUGAAAGCCCACGGCUCAACCGUGGAGGGUCAUUGGAAACUGGGAAACUUGAGUGCAGAAGAGGAAAGUGGAAUUCCAUGUGUAGCGGUGAAAUGCGCAGAGAUAUGGAGGAACACCAGUGGCGAAGGCGACUUUCUGGUCUGUAACUGACGCUGAUGUGCGAAAGCGUGGGGAUCAAACAGGAUUAGAUACCCUGGUAGUCCACGCCGUAAACGAUGAGUGCUAAGUGUUAGGGGGUUUCCGCCCCUUAGUGCUGCAGCUAACGCAUUAAGCACUCCGCCUGGGGAGUACGACCGCAAGGUUGAAACUCAAAGGAAUUGACGGGGACCCGCACAAGCGGUGGAGCAUGUGGUUUAAUUCGAAGCAACGCGAAGAACCUUACCAAAUCUUGACAUCCUUUGAAAACUCUAGAGAUAGAGCCUUCCCCUUCGGGGGACAAAGUGACAGGUGGUGCAUGGUUGUCGUCAGCUCGUGUCGUGAGAUGUUGGGUUAAGUCCCGCAACGAGCGCAACCCUUAAGCUUAGUUGCCAUCAUUAAGUUGGGCACUCUAGGUUGACUGCCGGUGACAAACCGGAGGAAGGUGGGGAUGACGUCAAAUCAUCAUGCCCCUUAUGAUUUGGGCUACACACGUGCUACAAUGGACAAUACAAAGGGCAGCUAAACCGCGAGGUCAUGCAAAUCCCAUAAAGUUGUUCUCAGUUCGGAUUGUAGUCUGCAACUCGACUACAUGAAGCUGGAAUCGCUAGUAAUCGUAGAUCAGCAUGCUACGGUGAAUACGUUCCCGGGUCUUGUACACACCGCCCGUCACACCACGAGAGUUUGUAACACCCGAAGCCGGUGGAGUAACCAUUU